rnacentral:lncRNA from 1 species
GUACCAACAGAGAUGAUAAUGACAGAGGUCGUUCAAUUUUUUCCUCUAAAAUGGCAAAACUUGAGUUUCCUCGUUAUUCCGGCGACGAUCCUACUGAGUGGUUGAACUGAGUUAGUCAGUUUCUUGAGUAUCAAGGCACUCCGGAAGCACAAAAGGUAUCCUUGGCAUCAUUUCACCUUUAAGUUGAAGCCAACCAAUGGUGGCAAUGGUUGCACCGAGCAUACAAAGAGGAUGAGCGAUUGGUGACAUGGGAAAUUUUUGAGGAAGAGCUGUGGGCUCGUUUUGGACCUACAGAAUGUGAAGACUUUGACGAAGCACUAUCACGGGUCAAACAGGUAGGUUCCUUGCGAGACUACCAAAAGGAGCUCAAGAGGUUGGGCAACCGAGUGCACGGGUGGACGCAAAAGGCAUUAGUAGGAACAUUUAUGGGAGGUCUCAAGGCUGAAAUAGCGGGAGGCAUACGAAUGUUCAAGUCAAAGUCACUGAAGGAAGCCAUUAGUCUCGCACGCAUGCGAGAUGACCAACUUCUUCGUCAGAGGAGAUUUAUGCGACCACAGCCACUCAGUCGGCCACACUCCAACCUUCCUGUUCCAGCAAAGCCCAACUUAACAUCUCCAGUAAAACGCUUGACAUGGGAGGAAAUGCAAAAGAGAAGAGCUCAAGCUCUUUGUUUUAAUUGUAACGACAAGUCUACUGUGGGUCAUAAAUGCCGAAGCCCACUAAUCUUGCUGCUAGAAGGAAGCAACAUCAAUAUCAAGUUUGAAGAGGUUCUUGAUAACGAGACAGAAGUGCCCAUAACUGAUCUCCAACCUGAACCAGAGAUAUCACUACACGCUUUAACUGGAUGGUCAACUUCUAGAACCAUGAUAGUCAUGGCCAGAAUCGGACAUUAUGAGGUGGUUGUCCUCAUUGACAGUGGUUUCACCCACAACUUCGUUAGUGAGAAGGUAGCUAAUUUAUUAAAAUUACCUGUGGUUCCAACCGGGCCAUUCAAUGUGAAAGUAGCUAACGGGAAUCCAUUGAAGUGCCAAGGGAGAUUUGAGCAUGUGCAGGUUUUACUUCAGGGUAUCCCUUUCUCUCUUACUCUCUAUUCAUUGCCACUAACUGGGCUAAUGGUUGGAGCAACUGGGAACGGUGGUCUGCAAUUGGAAAAAAAUGACAAUGGAAUUCCAGUGGAAAAAUAAAGCUCAAAAGCUACAAGGAACCGAUACAUCACCUAUUCAAUCCGAAUCCUUAAAGGCGAUUUCGAAGGAACUACGACAAGGAAAUUCUAUGUUUGCUAUUUGCCUACAGAACGCGGCAGAUGAACCACAACAUGAUUUACAUCCAGAUAUGCAAAACUUGAAGAAAGCCUAUGAGGACAUUUUUCAAGAGCCAAAGCAAUUGCCUCCAGCAAGAGAAAUUGAUUACCGCAUCACUCUAAAAGAAGGAACCGAGCCUAUCAACGUAAGAUCCUACAGGUAUGCCUAUUUUCAAAAAGCUGAAAUUGAAAAACAAGUUCACGACAUGUUAAAAUUGGGGCUUAUAAAAUCAAGUACUAGUCCUUUUUUGUCUCAUGUUUUAUUGGUUAAAAAGAAAGAUGGCACAUGGCGCUUCUGUACCGACUAUAGAGCCCUUAAUGCUGUAACCAUCAAAGAUCGGUUUCCAAUUCCCACAGUUGAUGAUAUGCUAGAUGAAAUCCAUGGGACAUCUUACUUCACUAAACUAGAUUUAAAAGCUGGCUACCAUCAGGUACGGGUACAUCCUCUAGACGUUCCUAAACUGCUUUUCGUACUCAUAAUGGUCAUUUCGAAUAUUAAGUCAUGCAUUUUCGUCUAUGUAAUGCCCCAUCUACUUUUCAAGCCAUUAUGAACUCCAUAUUCCGACCUUAUCUUCGCAAAUUUGUGUUAGUCUUUUUUGAUGACAUUUUGAUUUAUAGCCCCAAUUCAACCUUGCAUCUUGAACAUGUUAAACAAGCUUUUGAAAUAUUAAGGCAACACCAUUUUUUUGCUAAAAUCUGCAAAUGUGCAUUUGGUCAGCAAGAGUUGGAAUACUUGAGUCAUAUUGUUACUUCUCAAGGAGUAAAAGUAGAUCAAGGAAAAAUUAAAGAAAUGCCACAUUGGCCUAGGCCUAGGCCUACUAAUAUUUCUGAAUUGCAUGGAUUAUUAGGCCUUACAGGCUACUACAAGAAGUUUGUUCGUAAUUAUGGCAUAUUGGCUCGACCCCUGACCAAUCUGUUAAAAAAGGGACAGUUCAGAUGGACAGAAGAGGCUGAAAUUGCAUUCCAAGCUCUCAAACAAGCUAUGACAUCCACCCCUACACUUGUUAUGCCUAACUUUAAGGAGCCUUUUGUUAUAGAAUCUGAUGCUUCAGGGGAUGGAAUUGGUGCAGUUCUAACUCAACAAGGAAAGCCAAUUGCAUUCAUAAGCCGAGCCUUGGGGAUGUCCAAACGAUCAUGGUCCACAUAUGCUAGAGAGAUGUUGGCCAUUGUUCAAGCUAUCAGAACUUGGAGACCAUAUUAGUUAGGACGAAAGUUUUAUAUUCAGACAGAUCAACGCAGCCUCAAAUACUUAAUGGAGCAACGCAUAGCAACACCAGAAAAACAAACAUGGGUGGCUAAGUUGCUUGGAUAUGACUAUGAAAUAAUAUACAAACCGGGCAGGGAAAAUUCAGCAGCAGAUGCGCUAUCAAGAAGGGUAAGCAGCCCUAGGCUCGAUGCUUUAUUUGUUUCACAGGCUCAUUUAUGGAAUGAAAUUAAAGUUGAAGCUGUUGGAAGGACAUGGAGAAAACUGGCAGGUUGGCAACUGAAAAACCAGGUGUUCCUUACACAUGGCGAAAUGGACUGGUGUGCUAUAAAAACAGAGUGGUGGUACCUCCAAAUUCUCAAAUAAUCAAGCAACUCUUGCGAGAAUUCCAUGAUUCUCAAUUCGGUGGACAUUCUGGGGUGUUACGGACAUAUAAACGACUUGCACAACAAUUCUAUUGGCCAUCUAUGUAUCAGGAAGUGCAAGACUACGUCUCUUCUUGUGAUAUAUGUCAACGAGUUAAGUCACUGCUUAAAAAGAAAUUGGGCGAAUCCAACUCCACUACUGUUGAAUUACCUCUUAUUGAUGAUGAUGGAGGAAUUAUCAUGGAACCCGAAGCCAUCUUGGAUACACGUUGGGUAAAGAAAGGAUCACGUUUUGUUGAAGAAAAUCUUGUCAAGUGGAAAUGACUACCUGUGGACGAUGCCACUUGGGAAAAUGCUCAAGAAUUGCAAGAUAAGUUCAUAAACAUGGACCUUGAGGACAAGGUUCCAGUAAAAGAAGGGGGUAUUGAUAAACCAAGACGAUCACAACAUGUUCCCAUCAAGAAUCCAAGGUUUAUAGUAUGAGGUUCUGUUAGACAUGCUGGAUACGUGGAUCGUGGAAGAAUGGAUUGGAGCUGUUGAGGAAUUGCUGGCAAAGUUCCAUUAGUCCAAUACUUGUUAUCUAUUAUUUUGUUAUUUGGGUAAUUGUUAGUUAUUAAUUUACGUGUAGUUGUGGAGUCCUUACUUUAAGAGUAGAGGUCGAAGUUUCCGGAAGGCAGUUUUUCUUUAUGUAUUUAAACUCCUCCAGUUGCAGUAAGAUGGGGGUAUUGAAAAUAAAAUUAUUGUGGUUCAUUCUCAACCUAAAUAGAAUUCUAUCUACGCUGCCAUUAUAAUAGCUUUGACUGGAACCUAUCAUGAAUUUACACCUAUAUCUGCCUGAGAGUCUUCCAGAUCAAGAGCAGAUGCUAGGAGGCUUGCUGGGACACAAGCAAAUUGAAACUGUUAAACAAUCCAAAG